UUAAUAAAUAAAAAAAGAAAGAAAGAAAGAAAGAAAGAAAGAAAGAAAGAAAGAAAGAAAGAAAGAAAGAAAGAAAGAAAGAAAGAAAGAAAGAAAGAAAGAAAGAAAGAAAGAAAGAAAGAAAGAAAGAAAGAAAGAAAGAAGAUAGAAAGAAGAAGAAGAAGAAGAAGAAGAAGAAGAAGGAAGAAGGAAGAAGGAAGAAGGAAGGAGGAAGGAAGGAAGGAAGGAAGGAGGAGGAGGAGAAAGGAGAAAGAAAGAAAGAAAAAAGGAGGAGGAGGAGGAGGAGGAGGAGGAGGAUGAGGAGAGAGAGAGAGAGAGAGAGAGAGAGAGAGAGAGAGNNNNNNNNNNNNNNNGAAGGAAGGAAGGAAGGAAGAGAGAAAGAAGAUG
rnacentral:lncRNA from 1 species